UACGUAGGGUGCAAGCGUUAAUCGGAAUUACUGGGCGUAAAGCGUGCGCAGGCGGUUGUGUAAAGACAGAUGUGAAAUCCCCGGGCUCAACCUGGGAACUGCAUUUGUGACUGCACAGCUGGAGUGCGGCAGAGGGGGGAUGGAAUUCCGCGUGUAGCAGUGAAAUGCGUAGAUAUGCGGAGGAACACCGGAUGGCGAAGGCAA
rnacentral:rRNA from 1 species